ensembl:lncRNA
UCCAAAGCCACUCCAUCACACUCCAGAACAGUAUCCAAAGCCACUCCAUCACACUCCAGAACAGUAUCCAAAGCCACCCCAUCACACUCUAGAACAGUAUCCAAAACUACUCCAUCACACUCCAGAAUGGUAUCCAAAGCCACUCCAUCACACUCCAGAACGGUAUCCAAAGCCACUCCAUCACACUCCAGAAGUAUCCAAAGCCACUCCAUCACACUCUAAAACGGUAUCCAAUGCCACUCUAUCACACUCUAGAACAGUAUCCAAAGCCACCCCAUCACACUCUAGAAUGGUAUCCAAAGCCAUCCCAUCACACUCUAGAAUGGACCUUCGUUUUUCACAUCGCCCUGUCCGUUGAAGACAGUGUACUUGUAACCCCUCCAUCCCCAUUACUCAGGAAGCAAAGGCAGAGGGAUUGCUCAGGGAAACACCUUUCUGGAGGAGAAAUGGGGACUGUGGGGACAUAAGGCUGUCUGCUGGCUCUGGUCCUACUUCUGGGUCUGUGUGGAGAAGUAGUUGAGAUCCUGCUGUCCUUAUUAAGUGAGAAGAUCCCAAACAAAGAACACAUUGGCAGUUAGGUGAGCCACUGGAGUGUGGAUGCCAAGUCAGAAUCAUGAAUCGGGUAUGCUAAGUGAAGCAAGCCAAGCACUGGAAAGCAGCGCUGCACGGUCUCACCGGCAGGGGAAAUCGUAACCAGCUGAGGUGGGGAGCAUCAGGGACGGCAAGAGGCAGAUGACUGGGUUCUGAGCAUGAGGCAAGAUCUUCUGUAAGCUUUGGCCUACUGUGGGCAUGAGAACCUAGUGCUCAAAGGUGACAUCUUUGCAUCCCCCUUUGUGGCUGAAUGAGGCUCUGUUGCGCUUCCUGUAUGUGUUCCCUCCUCUGGAUGCCUAGGCUGGUUCUACAGUUGUCUACCAGAACAGAGCAGCAAUGUCUACAGUUUCCAAGGAAAAGAAUAGCUUUUCUUCAAAGCCUCACCAUCAGAACGGCAUCAGAGCAGAAGGGGCCCAGCCUUAGAAAUCCCAUUUGAGAGCCAGCGUGGAGUCCUGUGGCUGUUUUCUACUGCAAACCGAUGUAUCCUGGGUCAUUAUGCUAAUCACAGUGAUUAAAUGACUAUAUACUUCACUUGGUGCCACACUCCUAUAAUUCUAACUCCUGGGGCAGCUGAAGCAGGAAGAUCAGGCCCCGGAAUUCAAGGCCAGUCUGGGCAGCACAAUAACAUUAUGUCUCUAAAACAAAAAUAAAACUGUGGAAAAUUUUUUCUCAGCUCUAGUAUUACAACAUACCUAGAAGUCAUUCAUUUUUUUCAGUUUUGAUCCUGGUAAGUGCUCACUCAAAUUGUGGUCCAUUUAAAACAGCAGUGGUGUGGUAUGA